rnacentral:rRNA from 1 species
AUUGAACGCUGGCGGCAUGCCUUACACAUGCAAGUCGAACGGCAGCGGACCUUCGGGUGCCGGCGAGUGGCGAACGGGUGAGUAAUGUAUCGGAACGUACCUUUCAGUGGGGGAUAACGUAGCGAAAGUUACGCUAAUACCGCAUAUUCUGUGAGCAGGAAAGCAGGGGAUCGCAAGACCUUGCGCUGAUUGAGCGGCCGAUAUCAGAUUAGCUAGUUGGUGAGGUAAAGGCUCACCAAGGCGACGAUCUGUAGCGGGUCUGAGAGGAUGAUCCGCCACACUGGAACUGAGACACGGUCCAGACUCCUACGGGAGGCAGCAGUGGGGAAUUUUGGACAAUGGGGGCAACCCUGAUCCAGCCAUGCCGCGUGAGUGAAGAAGGACUUCGGGUUGUAAAGCUCUUUCGGCCGGGAAGAAAUCGUAUGGGUUAAUACCCUGUGCGGAUGACGGUACCGGCAUAAGAAGCACCGGCUAACUACGUGCCAGCCGCCGCGGUAACAC